rnacentral:rRNA from 1 species
GACGAACGCUGGCGACGUGCUUAACACAUGCAAGUCGAACGGUAAGGCCCUUCGGGGUACACGAGUGGCGAACGGGUGAGUAACACGUGGGUGAUCUGCCCUGCACUUCGGGAUAAGCCUGGGAAACUGGGUCUAAUACCGGAUAGGACUCCUGGCUUCAUGGUUGGGGGUGGAAAGCUUUUGCGGUGUGGGAUGGGCCCGCGGCCUAUCAGCUUGUUGGUGGGGUAAUGGCCUACCAAGGCGACGACGGGUAGCCGGCCUGAGAGGGUGACCGGUCACACUGGGACUGAGAUACGGCCCAGACUCCUACGGGAGGCAGCAGUGGGGAAUAUUGCACAAUGGGCGCAAGCCUGAAGCAGCGACGCCGCGUGAGGGAUGACGGCCUUCGGGUUGUAAACCUCUUUCAGCUAUGACGAAGCGCAAGUGACGGUAGUAGCAGAAGAAGGACCGGCCAACUACGUGCCAGCCGCCGCAGUAA